GCAAUUCUAGCUAGAAUGUGGUCUUCGGACUGCUGGACAGCGGCGCACGGGUGAGUAACGCGUACGCAAUCUACCCCAUACAGAGGAAUAGCCCUGGGAAACUGGGAUUAAUACCUCAUAGUCUGAUCUGAUCGCAUGGUUAGAUUAGUAAAGCUCCGGCGGUAUGGGAUGAGCGUGCGUAGUAUUAGCUAGAUGGUGAGGUAACGGCUCACCAUGGCGAUGAUACUUAGGGGGCGUGAGAGCGUGAUC
rnacentral:rRNA from 1 species